AUGUCGAGCUCAGUCAUCCUGAUCCAUCUGUCACUGCAUUGACGUUGCUGCGUCGUUAACUUCUCUGAAUCCGUCCCUCCCCUAUCCAUUGUAUUACCCGUCCGAACCCUUUAAAAGGUCGCGCCGUUCGUUUUGCGUCAGUUCUAUUCGCUAAAGAGCCACCAUGGCGUACGUACGCUCUAUUGCACUUCUGCUGCUGGCCGCAGCUGCCGUUAUUUCAGCGCUGCCCAACUCUCCAAGUGUCCCAGAAGGCUGCGACCCCCGUGGUUUGGAUAUAAUUACCACGUGCGAGUACACCCAGUGCGUUCACUGCAUCACUGCGGCAGACUGCUGCAAGGCCGGCCAAAUCUGCUGCCCCUGGGGCUGCGGCAGGCGCUGCUUUGACCCCUAAUGAAGCGACUGUAAACGGACGGUCUGAAAUGACCGCGCCUUAGCGCAUCUCCUUUGCUUGGGUUUCGAAGGAGACGCUGUGUGGAAAUGCAUGAAAUAUACGAAGACAGUGUUAUAAA